GCCCCCGUAGCUCAGUCAGGAUAGAGCAUCUGCCUUCUAAGCAGAGGGUCGGGCGUUCGAGUCGCCCCGGGGGUA
rnacentral:tRNA from 1 species